CCUACGGGUGGCAGCAGUGAGGAAUAUUGGUCAAUGGACGAAAGUCUGAACCAGCCAAGUCGCGUGAAGGAUGACGGCCCUAUGUGUUGUAAACUUCUUUUGUACAGGAAUAAAAGCAUGCACGUGUGCCUUUUUGCAAGUACUUUAUGAAUAAGGAUCGGCUAACUCCGUGCCAGCAGCCGCGGUAAUACGGAGGAUCCGCGCGUUAUCCGGAUUUCUUGGGUUUAAAGGGUGCGUAGAGGGGAUGUUAAGUUAGUUGUGAAAUCUUGCGGCUCAACCUCGAAAUUGCAAUUGAUACUGGUCGUCUAGAGUGUAGUAGCGGUAGGCGGAAUGUGUGGUGUAGCGGUGAAAUGCUUAGAUAUCACGCAGAACACCGAUUGCGAAGGCAGCUUACCAAGCUGCGACUGACAUUGAGGCACGAAAGCGUGGGUAUCAAACAGGAUUAGAUACCCGAGUAGUC
rnacentral:rRNA from 1 species